GUCUACAGCCAUAACACCCUGAACGUGCCCGAUCUCGUCUGAUCUCGGAAGCUAAGCAGGGUCGGGCCUCGUUAGUACUUAGAUGAGAGGAAAGAUGAUACUAUAUACA
rnacentral:rRNA from 1 species